AAUCAGUGAUGAAAAAUAGCCAAAUAUGAGCAAAAAGAGACCUUCUGGUCUAUGCAAUGCAUAAUCUGCAUGUGUUUCUAAGA
rnacentral:snoRNA from 1 species